CGGGGCUUCAGGUGUGAGCGCCCUAACAGGCAACGGAAAAAGAGGCGUCGCUUUCAGCUAACGUUAUAUAGCCAACUAGUUUUCAGAAGUACUUAAUGCUAAGUGGCGCACUGGAUUGCGUGAAAAGCAUUAUCCUCAGAGGGGAAACAGAGUUUCUAACUGCGUAACCCCCCAGAGGAAUGCUGGAACACUUUUCUGCACACGCGUGCGGGUUUGGGCACGUGCGCGGGAUGGCUUGGCAGGCUGGUGAGGACAGUGAGCUUGGCAGCAGCAGGCUGGCAGUUGGCGGUUGGCAGGUGAGUUGGCGGAGGAAGGCGUUAGUGAGUUAUAAUGUUUCUGUUUUGUUAUUUGUUCAUAUUUUCUCCAAACAAUGCAUGAACUGUGCUUUAGUAAGCAUCUUGCGCCCUGUAGAUAAGCACAGACCACCGCAAAUAAUAAGUAACUACAGCUUUGAGCACACAAAAGCAAUGCUGUCAGUUGAGUUUGGGCUGCUAAGGCCUCACAAUUUUAAGGACACUAAUGUAGGGCGUGUGCACUUUCCCUAAAUUGCUAAACAUCACUUUUAUAUGUGUGGUUUUUUGGGGCCGAUUUGAAAAAUAUUGGAAUUGUGUUUUGGGGCCGGUAAACACACCCCUGCUUUCAGUCAGACUUUUUCUCCCUUCACUCUGGUGGCUUCAUUUCUCAACAAGCACAGAUUGGCUGGAUCGCCAAUCAUCAGUUUUAUCACCCAACUGUGUUUCCAAUGAAACGAUUUGCACAGCUUCUUAGGAAUGAAUACUGAUUCAGUCCAGGCCGGUGUUUUUGUUAGAGUUAGUGCUGUUUUUCUUCUUUUUUUAAAUUUGCCAUAAUGCAGAAACCGCUUCAGAGAAAAAAAGUUAGAAGUUAUGUAACAUUGUUAUAAAUAUCCCAUCUUUGAUAUUGAAAUUUUCUUGUUCUUGAAUGGUGCAUAUUUAGC